rnacentral:rRNA from 1 species
UANUUGGAAAUGGACGAAAGUCUGAUCCAGCCACNCCGCGUGAGNNANGAAGGCCUUAGGGUUNCCAAGCUCUUUNAANGGGAAGAUAAUGACUGUACCGGGAGAAUAAGCUCCGGCUAANUUCNUGCCGGCAGCGGANGUAAUACGAAGGGGGCUAGCGUUGUUCGGAAUUACUGGGCGUAAAGCGCGCGCAGGCGGCCAAUCAAGUCAGGGGUGAAAGCCCAGAGCUCAACUCUGGAACUGCCUUUGAAACUGUUUGGCUCGAGUACGGGAGAGGUGAGUGGAAUUCCCAGUGUAGAGGUGAAAUUCGUAGAUAUUGGGAAGAACACCGGUGGCAAAGGCGGCUCACUGGCCCGUUUCUGACGCUCAGGCGCGAUAGCGUGGGGAUCAAACAGGAUUAGAUACCCUGGUAGUCCACGCCGUAAACUAUGGACGCUAGCCGUUGGGCAGCUUGCUGUUCAGUGGCGCAGCUAACGCAUUAAGCGUCCCGCCUGGGGAGUACGGCCGCNAGGUUGAAACUCAAAGGAAUUGACGGA